CCUAUUGGUUAUGAUGAAUUGGAGGCUGUAGGAAAGACGUUGUAGAAUAACAAAACAGAGACAAUUUUUAGAAUGGGCCUAAACCGUAAUUUAAUAUUUUUAAAGAGAGGGAUUAAUCGACAAUUUAGCCAACAAUAUAGCGUAAAACGGCGGGAAACGAGAACCCCGUUCAAGCCUUCAUUCCUCCAUUGCUGCAUCUCCGAUUGUUCUUCAAAACUCUUCUCUUGGUUCUGUGUGGAUUUUGCUUUCUUUUUUUGUUUUUGGUUUCGCUGAUUGGAUCUGUUUCCUAUUUAGAAGCCUGUGGCAGCACCAUUGACGACAGAGGAGCUUGGGAUGGCGAUCUAAACACUACUCCACGCUAUUGCAGCUCGGGUGUUUGAUGAAUUGCCUCAGUGGAAUGUUUCCCUUCUUUUGUUGUUACUUUGACGGUUGAUUGUUAUGUGAAUGAACUUUCUUAGGAGUAAUUUGAUAAAAAAAAAUGAAAGCUUUGAUAGUAUGGUCUUUGUACAUAGAGGACAAAAAAUGGGAGUUUAGAUGGAAAUUCUCUUAUCAUCAAAUUCAUCAUCUAUUUUAGAAUACUAGUUUGUAAUUAGGGCUCUCGAUUGAUUUGUGUAUCGUUUAAUGAGCAAACGGUGUUGAGGUUAUUAUACUCAUGCGCUUGCUUUGCUCAAUUUUGGAGCUUAUUUUCGCUUUAGGAGGUAAGCAACUUCAAAGUAAUUUCACUGGGCUGACUUGUGCAUGUCAUAGUUCAUAUAUGCUUGUUAGAUUUCUAUUUAUGUUAUUGGAUAUCAACCUAGUCACAAGACUGGUUUUUAUGAAUAGUUUGGUAUGAUUUUGUAUGUUAUCAUUGUUUUGGCAUAUAUUUAAGUCUAUAUGCUUUUUUUUUUUGGUCAGUUUUCAGACAACCCAGCAAGGCAGCAAAAGCAUGAUGGCAAUGAACUGAGCAAAUCCUGUGGAGCUGGAUAGGAUCACUGGCAGAUUUACUUAUGUGGUUGUAUCGGCGUGCACGUACAAGCCUCGGAAAGCUUGUUUGUCCGUGGCCUGAGAGUGAACGCUAGAUGGGGCAAGCUUGAUUGCAAAGAUCACGCCUGUGAUUCUCAAGGCACUCCGGGCUUCAUCAGUUAAAUUAUACUGACAAUGCUAAGAAUCAAUGAAAUACAUGCACUUCAGUGUUUAUUCAUUUUUUUUUUCUUCUGGUUUUGACAUGUAACGGCCAUAUUACAUAUUUGCUCCUAGUAAAAGUUUUACUUUUUGAA